UCGUGGAGUGAUUUGUCUGGUUAAUUCCGAUAACGAACGAGACCUUAUUCUGCUAAAUAGACAGGUCAACUUUUUAGUUGGCGUUGAGCUUCGGCUCUGCUGUCUUCUUAGAGAGACUAUCGGCUCGAAGCCGAAGGAAGUUUUAGGCAAUAACA
rnacentral:rRNA from 1 species